AGUGUGGAUGCAGAGUGGGGGUAGACAGGUCUGGAAGUUGCACAGAGCACAGGAGGGCUGACUUGCUUCCAUCCUGUAAAGUCUGAGGCCUCCACUGCAAAGACUCCACAGCUGAGAGGGACCCAACAGCUGGAACCAUCUGAAGAUGUCAUCUCUCAUGUUUCCCCCACAUGAUGCUGGCUGUUGGUGCGACCUCAGCCCAGGCUGUUGGCCACAACAGCCUCUGCAUGUGGCUUGGGCUUCCUCAGAGCAU
rnacentral:lncRNA from 1 species